UACGUUCCCGGGCCUUGUACACACCGCCCGUCAAGCCAUGGAAGCUGGGGGUGCCUGAAGUCGGUGACCGCAAGGAGCUGCCUAAGGUAAAACUAGUAACUAGGGCU
rnacentral:rRNA from 1 species